GGCCUGUUAGCUCAGUCGGCAGAGCGUGGUGAUAAUAACGUAAGGUCGUGAGUUCGAUCCUCAUACAGGCCA
rnacentral:tRNA from 1 species